rnacentral:snoRNA from 1 species
UAGGAUAUGAUGACAAUUAAUUCAAUUGAUAUCACAUGAUAUUGUACAAUAAUUUAUUGAGCUUUUUAACACUGACAUUAA